GUGAAUCAUCGAAUUUUUGAACGCAAAUUGCACUUUCUGGUAUUCCGGAAAGUAUGCCUGGUUGAGGGGCAGUUAUAUAAAAAUCGGGGUGGUUGCUGCCUUUCGUGGUGACGCGUCGGAAUUGGGUCGUCUUACCUUCGGUUAUGUGACUUAAAAUUUUUGCAUGAUGUUCGAACGUAUUGAAAUCGCUUACGUAUUGUUGAGAUAUC
rnacentral:misc_RNA from 1 species